rnacentral:rRNA from 1 species
UAAUACAUGCAAGUCGAACGCUUUGUGGUUCAACUGAUUUGAAGAGCUUGCUCAGAUAUGACGAUGGACAUUGCAAAGAGUGGCGAACGGGUGAGUAACACGUGGGAAACCUACCUCUUAGCAGGGGAUAACAUUUGGAAACAGAUGCUAAUACCGUAUAACAAUGACAACCGCAUGGUUGUUAUUUAAAAGAUGGUUCUGCUAUCACUAAGAGAUGGUCCCGCGGUGCAUUAGCUAGUUGGUAAGGUAAUGGCUUACCAAGGCGAUGAUGCAUAGCCGAGUUGAGAGACUGAUCGGCCACAAUGGGACUGAGACACGGCCCAUACUCCUACGGGAGGCAGCAGUAGGGAAUCUUCCACAAUGGGCGAAAGCCUGAUGGAGCAACGCCGCGUGUGUGAUGAAGGGUUUCGGCUCGUAAAACACUGUUGUAAGAGAAGAAUGACAUUGAGAGUAACUGUUCAAUGUGUGACGGUAUCUUACCAGAAAGGAACGGCUAAAUACGUGCCAGCAGCCGCGGUAAUACGUAUGUUCCAAGCGUUAUCCGGAUUUAUUGGGCGUAAAGCGAGCGCAGACGGUUAUUUAAGUCUGAAGUGAAAGCCCUCAGCUCCACUGAGGAAUUGCUUUGGAAACUGGAUGACUUGAGUGCAGUAGAGGAAAGUGGAACUCCAUGUGUAGCGGUGAAAUGCGUAGAUAUAUGGAAGAACACCAGUGGCGAAGGCGGCUUUCUGGACUGUAACUGACGUUGAGGCUCGAAAGUGUGGGUAGCAAACAGGAUUAGAUACCCUGGUAGUCCACACCGUAAACGAUGAGUGCUAGGUGUUUGAGGGUUUCCGCCCUUAAGUGCCGCAGCUAACGCAUUAAGCACUCCGCCUGGGGAGUACGACCGCAAGGUUGAAACUCAAAGGAAUUGACGGGGACCCGCACAAGCGGUGGAGCAUGUGGUUUAAUUCGAAGCAACGCGAAGAACCUUACCAGGUCUUGACAUCCCUUGACAACUCCAGAGAUGGAGCGUUCCCUUCGGGGACAAGGUGACAGGUGGUGCAUGGUUGUCGUCAGCUCGUGUCGUGAGAUGUUGGGUUAAGUCCCGCAACGAGCGCAACCCUUAUUACUAGUUGCCAGCAUUCAGUUGGGCACUCUAGUGAGACUGCCGGUGACAAACCGGAGGAAGGUGGGGAUGACGUCAAAUCAUCAUGCCCCUUAUGACCUGGGCUACACACGUGCUACAAUGGCGUAUACAACGAGUUGCCAACCCGCGAGGGUGAGCUAAUCUCUUAAAGUACGUCUCAGUUCGGAUUGUAGGCUGCAACUCGCCUACAUGAAGUCGGAAUCGCUAGUAAUCGCGGAUCAGCACGCCGCGGUGAAUACGUUCCCGGGCUUUGUACACACCGCCCGUCACACCAUGAGAGUUUGUAACACCCAAAG